rnacentral:rRNA from 1 species
GACGAACGCUGGCGGCGUGCCUAACACAUGCAAGUCGAGCGGAGAAUGCAGAAAUGUUUACAUGGAAGCGUUCUUAGCGGCGGACGGGUGAGUAACACGUGGGUAACCUGCCUCAAAGUGGGGGAUAGCCUUCCGAAAGGAAGAUUAAUACCGCAUAAGCCUACAGUGCCGCAUGGCACAGCAGGAAAAGGAGCAAUCCGCUUUGAGAUGGACCCGCGGCGCAUUAGCUAGUUGGUGAGGUAACGGCUCACCAAGGCGACGAUGCGUAGCCGACCUGAGAGGGUGAUCGGCCACAUUGGAACUGAGACACGGUCCAGACUCCUACGGGAGGCAGCAGUGGGGAAUAUUGCACAAUGGGCGAAAGCCUGAUGCAGCAACGCCGCGUGAGUGAUGAAGGCCUUCGGGUCGUAAAGCUCUUUGAUCAGGGAUGAUAAUGACAGUACCUGAAAAACAAGCCACGGCUAACUACGUG